UCCCAGGUGGCUUGGUGGUAAAGCAUUCAUCUCCCAAUGCAGGAGAUGAAGGUUUCAUCCCUGGGUUCAAUUUCUGGCUUGGGAA
rnacentral:tRNA from 1 species